UCCAGGGUAGCCUAGUGGACAUGGCAUCUGCCCAGUAAGCGGGUUCUGUGGGUUCGAUUCCCAUCCCUGGAC
rnacentral:tRNA from 1 species